AGAUUGAACGCUGGCGGAAUGCUUUACACAUGCAAGUCGAACGGCAGCACGGGGGCAACCCUGGUGGCGAGUGGCGAACGGGUGAGUAAUACAUCGGAACGUGCCCAGUCGUGGGGGAUAACUACGCGAAAGCGUAGCUAAUACCGCAUACGAACUCUGGUUGAAAGCGGGGGACUCGCAAGAGCCUCGCGCGAUUGGAGCGGCCGAUGGCAGAUUAGGUAGUUGGUGGGGUAAAGGCUCACCAAGCCGACGAUCUGUAGCUGGUCUGAGAGGACGACCAGCCACACUGGGACUGAGACACGGCCCAGACUCCUACGGGAGCAGCA
rnacentral:rRNA from 1 species